rnacentral:rRNA from 1 species
CCUGAGAGGGUGAUCGGCCACACUGGGACUGAGACACGGCCCAGACUCCUACGGGAGGCAGCAGUAGGGAAUCUUCCGCAAUGGACGAAAGUCUGACGGAGCAACGCCGCGUGAGUGAUGAAGGUUUUCGGAUCGUAAAACUCUGUUGUAAGGGAAGAACAAGUACGACGUAACUACUCGUACCUUGACGGUACCUUACCAGAAAGCCACGGCUAACUACGUGCCAGCAGCCGCGGUAAUACGUAGGUGGCAAGCGUUGUCCGGAAUUAUUGGGCGUAAAGCGCGCGUAGGCGGUCUUUUAAGUCUGAUGUGAAAGCCCCCGGCUCAACCGGGGAGGGUCAUUGGAAACUGGGAGACUUGAGUGCAGAAGAGGAGAGUGGAAUUCCAUGCGUAGCGGUGAAAUGCGCAGAGAUAUGGAGGAACACCAGUGGCGAAGGCGGCUCUCUGGUCUGUAACUGACGCUGAUGUGCGAAAGCGUGGGGAUCAAACAGGAUUAGAUACCCUGGUAGUCCACGCCGUAAACGAUGAGUGCUAAGUGUUAGGGGGUUUCCGCCCCUUAGUGCUGCAGCAAACGCA